GACGUAGGGCGCGAGCGUUGUCCGGAUUUACUGGGCGUAAAGAGCUCGUAGGCGGUGUGUCGCGUCGGCCGUGAAAACCUGGGGCUCAACUCUGGCGUGCGGUCGAUACGGGCAUCACUUGAGUUCGGCAGGGGAGACUGGAAUUCCUGGUGUAGCGGUGAAAUGCGCAGAUAUCAGGAGGAACACCGGUGGCGAAGGCGGGUCUCUGGGCCGAUACUGACGCUGAGGAGCGAAAGCGUGAGGAGCGAACAGG
rnacentral:rRNA from 1 species